GAUUUUAAAUAACAUUUUAUUCACUGAAAUGAAAAAAUGCAGGAAACACAUAAACUUUGAAUAAAGGUUUCCAUUUUUUAAAGUUUUUUUUUCUAAAGUAUGCUGAGGCUCUAGAAUCAAAAAGAUAUUGUCUUCUUCUUAUCUAGCUUAGCAAGAAUAAUGGCUCCAGUUCUCAUCUAAGUAUUUUUAAAGGGCACACAAACUCACACACCACACAAAAGUAAGUACUUUUUCCAAGAAGCAUGUAUCAUAUUGUUAUGUAUGUGUUUGUUUUAUCAGUCAUUUUUAAAGGUCAUUUAAAAUCUAGUAUCUAAAUGAUGGAGGCAACAAAGAGCAAGUAGAUUCGAGAGAAGCCAGA
rnacentral:lncRNA from 1 species